rnacentral:rRNA from 1 species
GAGUUUGAUCAUGGCUCAGGACGAACGCUGGCGGCGUGCUUAACACAUGCAAGUCGAGCGGGGUCCAACCACUGGCAACAGUGGGGAAGACCUAGCGGCGAACGGGUGAGUAACACGUGAGGAACCUGCCCCAAAGACCGGGAUAACCCUCCGAAAGGAGAGCUAAUACCGGAUGCCCUCUACGGACCGCAUGAUCUGUAGAGGAAAUGGAUUCCGCUUUGGGAGGGCCUCGCGGCCUAUCAGCUUGUUGGUGAGGUAACGGCUCACCAAGGCAUCGACGGGUAGCUGGUCUGAGAGGACGAUCAGCCACACUGGGACUGAGACACGGCCCAGACUCCUACGGGAGGCAGCAGUGGGGAAUCUUGCGCAAUGGGCGAAAGCCUGACGCAGCAACGCCGCGUGGGGGAUGAAGGCUUUCGGGUUGUAAACCCCUUUCAGCAGGGACGAUUAUGACGGUACCUGCAGAAGAAGGACCGGCAACUACGUGCCAGCAGCCGCCGUAAU